UACGAAGGGGGCUAGCGUUGUUCGGAAUUACUGGGCGUAAAGGGCGCGCAGGCGGUCCUUCAAGUCAGAUGUGAAAGCCCCGGGCUCAACCUGGGAACUGCAUUUGAGACUGAAGGACUAGAGUUCGGGAGAGGAUGGUGGAAUUCCCAGUGUAGAGGUGAAAUUCGUAGAUAUUGGGAAGAACACCGGUGGCGAAGGCGGCCAUCUGGACCGAUACUGACGCUGAGGCGCGAAAGCGUGGGGAGCAAACAGG
rnacentral:rRNA from 1 species